GAUCAUGGCUCAGGACGAACGCUGGCGGCACGCCUAACACAUGCAAGUCGAACGGACGAGGAGGAGCUUGCUUCUCCGAGUUAGUGGCGGACGGGUGAGUAACACGUGAGCAACCUGCCCUUGAGAGGGGGAUAGCUUCUGGAAACGGAUGGUAAUACCCCAUAACAUAUAUUUUAGGCAUCUAAGAUAUAUCAAAGAAAUUCGCUCAAGGAUGGGCUCGCGUCUGAUUAGAUAG
rnacentral:rRNA from 1 species